rnacentral:rRNA from 1 species
UACGUAGGGUGCAAGCGUUGUCCGGAAUUAUUGGGCGUAAAGAGCUCGUAGGUGGUUUGUCGCGUUGUCCGUGAAAACUCACAGCUUAACUGUGGGCGUGCGGGCGAUACGGGCAGACUGGAGUACUGCAGGGGAGACUGGAAUUCCUGGUGUAGCGGUGGAAUGUGCAGAUAUCAGGAGGAACACCGGUGGCGAAGGCGGGUCUCUGGGCAGUAACUGACGCUGAGGAGCGAAAGCGUGGGGAGCGAACAGG